rnacentral:rRNA from 1 species
UGGGGAAUAUUGGACAAUGGGGGCAACCCUGAUCCAGCCAUGCCGCGUGAGUGAAGAAGGCCUUCGGGUUGUAAAGCUCUUUUCCUUGUGACGAUAAUGACGGUAGCAAGGGAAUAAGCCCCGGCUAACUCCGUGCCAGCAGCCGCGGUAAUACGGAGGGGGCGAGCGUUGUUCGGAAUUACUGGGCGUAAAGGGCGCGUAGGCGGUUUGACAAGUCAGGCGUGAAAGCCCAGGGCUCAACCCUGGAAAUGCGUUUGAUACUGUCAGGCUAGAGUGUGGAAGAGGCAAGUGGAAUUCCCAGUGUAGAGGUGAAAUUCGUAGAUAUUGGGAAGAACACCAGAGGCGAAGGCGGCUUGCUGGUCCACAACUGACGCUGAGGCGCGAAAGCGUGGGGAGCAAACAGG